rnacentral:rRNA from 1 species
AGUAACGCGUGGGUAACCUGCCUUAUACAGGGGGAUAACAGUCAGAAAUGGCUGCUAAUACCGCAUAAGCGCACAGAGCUGCAUGGCUCAGUGUGAAAAACUCCGGUGGUAUAAGAUGGACCCGCGUUGGAUUAGCUGGUUGGUGGGGUAACGGCCCACCAAGGCGACGAUCCAUAGCCGGCCUGAGAGGGUGAACGGCCACAUUGGGACUGAGACACGGCCCAG